rnacentral:rRNA from 1 species
AUUGAACGCUGGCGGCAGGCCUAACACAUGCAAGUCGAGCGGAGCGGCGGACGGGUGAGUAAUGCCUAGGAAUCUGCCUGGUCGUGGGGGAUAACGUUCGGAAACGGGCGCUAAUACCGCAUACUAUCAGAUGAGCCUAGGGCGGAUUAGCUGGUUGGUGGGGUAAAGGCCUACCAAGGCGCCGAGCCGGAACUGGUCUGAGAGGAUGAACAGUCACACUGGAACGGAGACACGGGCCAGACUCCUACGGGAGGCAGCAGUGGGGAAUAUUGGGCAAUGGGCGAAAGCCUGAUCCAGCCAUGCCGCGUGUGUGAAGAAGGUCUUCGGAUUGUAAAGCACUUUAAGUUGGGAGGCGUUACCAACAGAAUAAGCACCGGCUAACUUCGUGCCAGCAGCCGCGGUAAUUC